GGCCUGAUGGUCUAGUAGUACUAGUAUGAUUCCUUGUUAGGGGUUUAUCAGUUUCGAGGAGGUCCUGGGUUCAAUUCCCAGUCAGGCCC
rnacentral:tRNA from 1 species